GUAAUGCUAUUCUUUUCCUCAUUUUAGGCCGAAGGGACUGCGCGACUCGGAGUCCUUCCUACGGACAAGAGACGCUAGUGGACGGCAGUCUGUUCACGCGUGGGGGUGGGUGGAUGGGUUUGGGCCCGGAGAACUCCACCGUGUCAUCGGGCGCCACACAGCUGACACAUAUGUGGAGAUUCUCGAUGAGGUCCUGUUCCCGACGUUGGAGCAAAUGCGAGGGGCGGCUCACCAGCACGUGCUUGUGCAAGACCAUGCUCCUCAACACACGGCAGCCGUCACCAAAAACUGGUUUGAGGAGCACCAAGCUCAAGUGGCUGUCGUGGAGUGGGCUCCCAAGAGUCCAGACCUCAACAUCAUUGAGAAUGUGUGGGGCGUAAUGGCCCGGGAGCUCGGCGAGGACGGUGGUCUGCGCGGCCUGACCUCCGACCAGCUGUGGACACGCGUGGAGAAGAAGUGGGAGGAGCUGCGAUCCCGGCCGGCGAUGUUUGCCUCUCUGGCGGCUUCGAUGCCCGGCCGUCUGCAGGCCGUCAUCGAGAGCGGCGGCGGACACACGGGAUACUAGGAGCGCCAGUAAGGUAUGGUGCUGCUGACUUGAGACCGACGACCGACAACCGUCGAGCGGUUGAUUCCGAGAGUCUAGCUUGUCGCCGGCGGCGAUGCUGCCGUGGCUGUGGCUGCCGCUGCGUCUGUUCGGAGCCUGCUGCCGUUUGACUCCGUAUUGGCCACUGCUGAGUCAGGAAGCCUUGAAUGCACCGCUAGCUCGCUAUGUUAUUUGUGUCUGUUCUUAACCGUUUCUGUGCAGUGUGAGAGGUGCUGACUUGUUUUGCAGUGUUGAUUGCUCUGAAAUGUGUUUGUUGAAAAUACUACAACUGAGUGUACCAUGAUUAAGUGUUGAAAGGCUAACCCUCGCCUUUAUAGCGGGGUCUUAGACCUCGGGUUUCCUAUUCGGUGUUCAUAGAGGCCACUGACCGGUUGCAGCCUAACCCGAAUGCACAAAUGAUAUUUUCACAAAAAGUAUUAAAUAAAAGCCAAACGAUAUGCCAAGAAAACUUC